AAUAUUGGACAAUGUGGGCAACCCUGAUCCAGCCAUGCCUCGUUUGUGAAUAAUGUCUUCUGAUUGUAAAUCACUUUAAGUUGGGAGGAAGGUCUUUAGGUUAAUACCCUGAAGUUUUGACGUUACCAACAGUAUAAGCACCGGCUAACAUUGAGCCAGCAGCCGCGGUAAUAGAGAGGGUGCAAGCUUUAACCGAAAUUACUGGGCGUAAAGCGCGCGUAGGUGGUUCAAUAAGAUAGGUAUGAAAUCCCCGGGCGUAACCUGAGAACUGCUUUCAUAACUGCUGAGCUAGAGUACGGUAGAAGGUAGUGGAAUUUCAUGUGUAGCGGUGAAAUGCGUAGAUAUAGGAAGGAACACCAGUGGCGAAGGCGACUACCUGGACUGAUACUGACACUGAGGUGCGAAAGCGUGGGGAGCAAA
rnacentral:rRNA from 1 species